GUGGGGAAUUUUCCGCAAUGGGCGCAAGCCUGACGGAGUGACGCCGCGUGGGGGACGACGGCCUUCGGGUUGUAAACCCCUGUCAGGAGGAAAGAAGGCUGGGGGUGUGAAGAGCGCCCCGAGUUGACGGUACCUUCAGAGGAAGCCCCGGCCAACUCUGUGCCAGCAGCCGCGGUAAGACAGAGGGGGCAAGCGUUGCUCGGAAUCACUGGGCGUAAAGGGCGCGUAGGCGGGGUCGCAAGUCGGUCGUGAAAUCUCCGGGCUCAACUCGGGGGGGUCGGCCGAAACUGCGGGUCUUGAGGGGCGCAGAGGAGUCUGGAAUUCCCGGUGUAGCGGUGAAAUGUGUAGAGAUCGGGAGGAACACCGGUGGCGAAGGCGGGGCUCUGGGCGCAGCCUGACGCUGAGGCGCGAAAGCGUGGGGAGCAAACGGGAUUAGAAACCCCGGUAGUCC
rnacentral:rRNA from 1 species